rnacentral:rRNA from 1 species
UACGUAGGCAGCGAGCGUUGUUCGGAGUUACUGGGCGUAAAGAGUGCGUAGGCGGUUUUCUAAGUUUGGUGUGAAAUCUCCCGGCUCAACUGGGAGGGUGCGCCGAAGACUGGAAGGCCUGAGUAUGGGAGAGGUAAGCGGAAUUCCUGGUGUAGCGGUGAAAUGCGUAGAUAUCAGGAGGAACACCUGCGGUGUAGACGGCUUACUGGACCAUAACUGACGCUGAGGCACGAAAGCGUGGGUAGCAAACAGG